UGGGGAAUAUUGCACAAUGGGCGCAAGCCUGAUGCAGCGACGCCGCGUGGAGGAUGAAGGUUUUCGGAUUGUAAACUCCUGUUAAGUGGGAAGAAAGACUUGUACCUAAUACGUGCAGGGGAUGACGGUACCACUAGAGAAAGCACCGGCAAACUUCGUGCCAGCAGCCGCGGUAAUACGAAGGGUGCGAGCGUUAUUCGGAAUAACUGGGCGUAAAGAGCGUGAAGGCGGCUUUCUAAGUCAACUGUUAAAGAGCUCGGCUUAACUGAGCAAGUGCGGGUGAAACUAGAGAGCUAGAGUGCAGAAGAGAAAGGUAGAAUUCUCGGAGUAGCGGUAAAAUGCGUAGAUCUCGAGAGGAAUACCGGUUGCGAAGGCGGCCUUUUGGUCUGUAACUGACGCU
rnacentral:rRNA from 1 species